UUACUUCAGGUGACACCACACUGGGCGACUGCGCGUCGGUGAUGAUGAGAUGAUGAUGAUGAUAAUGAUAAUAAUAACACAACCUGGCCGGGAAUCGAACCCGGCCCCGCUGCAUGGUAGGCAAGCCCGUUACCCCUCAGCUAAGAAUCCAGGCAACAUAGUUGAAAAUUUUAUGCGUUGGCAAUAAUUUCGCUGCAAACCACGCAUAACGGAUCACUUUUCCGAAAAUUGGCGCUUGCAACUGAUCAUGAAUCAAGAUACAGUCCAGGAAUCUCACCGAAAACAAUUUCAAAUAAUUUUUCCAUUCAUUUACUGUUUUUAAUUUUUUUAAUUCGUUCGUCAGACAUACAAUUAGCAGACAAACAAGAACAAAGUUAUUUCACUAUGUACUGGAAAACAAUGGUGUAGUUAUCAUCUACGAGCAUGGGUAGAUAAAUAAAAAGAAACUAAAACUAAAGGUAAUAAUGGGAUUUCGAAAGUGUGAAGCCACGACUAACCACUAUACCACCGCUCCGGUUGCUUUUACUUGCUCGCGGAAACGUACUUUUAAGUACCCCAGUAACUUAAACCGUAGUUUUCUCCGAAACGGUGGAGUAUCAUGGAUAAGACGAGAUACGUGUUCGCUUAUUCUGACCCCUCUUCCACUGAGCGAAGUUUCUGGGAAAUCUGAUUACGGCACUUGUGUUUUCCUGGUCAGUUGCAUGUGGACACCAGUGUCAACUUUUGCGCAUAGUAUUGCAAACACACAUCUCAGGCAUGCUGGCAUCAGAAGAUAUAUGAACACCAUGUGUACAAAAGUUGGAGCCAACCAACAGAGGGUAGUUUCGGCAGCGGACGUAGCGUUCCUGUUUCCUGGGCCCGGAGCAGAGACGCGUUUUCUUUCUGCUGCGGCGACACUUCCAUCGCCGCACGACGCCUAGGUUGGCCUGCUAUCUGCCGCCUCCACCAGCCUCAUCGUGUUGGCUCCAGAUGGCGAUGCGCGACCGCAACGAGCUACUCGGCUGGAGGAGGUCUUGAAACGAGAUGAUACUCGGCGAAGUGACUCCCCUGCCGUUCCCACAACUUACAUCCCAUCGACCACGUUUGGGAUGUGGAGCGGAGCCACGUUGCAACACGUUCACCUGCACCGACGACCAUCCAGCUGUUGUCAACCGCACUGGCGGAGGAAUGGAACGGUCACCAUAAGAACUGCUUACCAAACUUAUGGCCGGCUCGGAAGCACAGUGUAGAGGAUGCAUUGCCGUCCGUGCUGAUCACACAGCCUACUAACAACCACGCCUCACACACCAUCAUGAA